GCACCGCUGACGAGUCCCACCAUAGAACGAAACAUCCGUCCAGUGC
rnacentral:hammerhead_ribozyme from 1 species